AUAACACAAGUUUUUCUUCCCCACGCUUAAAAUACACAUUGUUCUCAAUGUGUAAAGAAAGAAAAACAAUAAAAGAUAGAAAGAAAUACUCCCCAAUACAAUCGCUAAGAUCCAGAUCAACCAUGACACACCAAUCUUCACAAAACACUUAAACAAUGACUAAAACUACCAAAAUCAAAGUCAAAAGAAAAAGUUAAUGUCACCUUACAUAACAAAAGAAAAGAAAAGCUAAAAGAAUAUAGAAGCAAAGCAAAAUGGUAGCUCAAAAUACUGGCCCAACACCUCUCUCACUAGCACCAACAGAUCCUCAACCAUCACCACUAGUUCCAGAAGUAGUGCGAGGUAGAGGAGUGAUGCCUAAAUGAUUCUACAUACGACAUAUCGAACAUCAUAGAUAUACAGGUGAGUAUCGAUCCAAUCAAGCCGUUCAAUGAGUUGAGUCGAUGGCAGCCUAGAAUGUUAAAAGGCACUGCAAGUUGGAACACGGUGGAGAGGGAGAUGGUGGUGGGGCAAAAGUAGACGACCUGGCAGAAGUGGAGGGACCGGCUUCACUUUACUCAGUGUGACCAGCUCGUCAUGAUCUCUCUCUCUAUGGGUGAGGGAAAUUAUCUGUAAGAAUGCCCAUGCCAGUAAGAAUAGCAACAUUUAACUCCUCCAUUGGUCACACCAAAACUCAUGAGAUGCCCUCUAUAUUUACGUCUUCCCGCUUGAAAAUUAAGGAUAGAAGACGUGGAAACUCCAUUUGAUAGGAAGUCCUACUCCUUCGAGUGGUCGUCCUUAUGUUACUAAUGAUUAUAUUUGGAAGUGGGAUGCGAGCAUAAAGAGAAUUCUGAUUAUGGAACAUGUGAUCCAAGAAGUAGAUAUCGCUAUGUCGAACCUCCCAUUGGCCACUCUUCUUGCAAAUCACAUUAUGCGCCAUGACAUAGAUAAUAAGGCGGUGUCAAUAGUCGAACAAGCGCACAAGAAUGGCCUUUUUCCUAGAUGAAUAAAAUGGUUGGUAUUAUCGACCAAACCUCGUCAUAGCAUGUUGACGGGAUUUUAAUAUACGUACAAGUUAAAAAAUCUGAAAUACACCCAUUUCAAUGCAAGUAUACAUGUCAACUAGUAGUUUAGGGUAUAUAUCGGGUCGAUCCCACGAGGAAGACUGAACAAUUACCUGUGUUACUAAAGCUUCUCUAUUAUUUAGACUAUCAAUGAAUUAUAAGAAAUAAAACCUACUAAACUUAUGUAAAAUAACAAAUGAAAGCUCCUUAGGUUAUGGUAUCCCUAACUACUCAUGCAAGUGCUAUAUUUGGAUCAUUGAGUACUACUAUCUAGGCUAGUUAUGGUGUAAUUUCCUUAUACAUAUGAGUCCUACUUUCGUAGCGAAUCAAUUAUACUCAUAACUAAUCCAUACCUAUUCUCAUGGUUAUGAAAUUAGCUACAAGUUCAUUUCUUCAAUGAAAUUACAUGAAAUUAAUCACUAAAACCACAUAGGUGCACCUCUACUCUCGUGAGUGUACUCCUUAUGUUUAGCACUUCUUGAACCAGUGUUUAAAUCUCAAUUUUCAUUGCAGAAACAACACCUUAGAUAAUCACAAUCAAUGGUACCAGAUUAAUCAUGAUUUAGAGAUCUAAAGUGCUAAAUAACUUGGUCAAGUAAUAGCAUCAAAUAGCCAAAUAAUAAACUCUAACAAUCAUAGAAAGUUCAACCAAACCCAAGGCAUAAACUUUAAAGACACAUAAAUAACAUAAAAUCCAGAACUUGUAUAUUAACUAAACUUGGAAUCAAGUACAAAAGAUAAAGAGUUGGAGAAAAGAUAACCGAUGUCACUUGAGCUUCAACUCCUCUUUCUUCAUCUCCAUCUUCAUCCUAAUUUAGCUAAUAUACAAGAAGGAUGAACUAACUAGCUAAACUAUCCUACACUAAGGAAAUGGAAGAACUACAUUUCUGCAGAAUCCAAGUUUCUCCCGUAUGAUGUCUGACCUCUAUUUUCUCUCUGCCUAUAAACUGAUCCCUUUUCCACCGUUACAUCUCCUUUUGAUUGAUUCUCAAAUCUUCAUUUUGUUAAGAAAGUCAAAAACAAUGGUUUUUGACUUGGAACUUUGGCUAUACCUCUUCCUUUUUGUCUUCUGAAGCACGUGCAGCCGAAUUCCCUUCCCAAAAAUAACUGGAAAGUGGUGUGAACAUAAGAGAAAUGGCUGAGUAAAUUGCAGAAUUUUGACUACAAAAUGCGACUUGACAAAAUGCGGCUUCAGGCCACGUUUUGUUGACUCGCGUUUUCAACUCUGUGCUUUUGGCCUCACUUCAGCUGCAAUUUUCUCUAUGAUAGAGACCGAACUAGCUUUUGUGUAAAACACAAAAGUUGUAGCCCUUUUAAUUACCUUUACAAUGAUCCAAAAAUCAUUCAAAUUGGCGUUUUGUAGACUGAGAUAUGAUCGAAAUACUAUCACCUGGUCAAACCCCUGUUUUCAACUUUGGACAGCAGUGUUGAAUUCUUGUAUUUCGACCUUUUGAUUAAGAAAAUGGCUGAAUUGAAUUAUGAUGCCUUCAUGCCAAAUUUAGAUCUAUCUCUUAGCUUCAAAAUGGUAUAAAUAUUACCUCAAUCCAAUAUGUGUAGCUCCAAAUAUAGUCGAAAUACAAAAAUGUGUCAAAGUUGUUUUCACUUGCAUUUCUUCAAUUCACUUCAUUUUUUCUUUAUCACUUAAAUUCAUCACCAAUUAUCUACUUUUCUCCUCAAUUGACAUCCUUUGGUGAUUGAAUCAUUAAUCCUGCAUGAAAAUGAAGUUUUAACCAUUAAAAUCAAUAGAAAUGCAAUGUUAGCCACUUUAACAUAAAAUGUAGAUUUUUACCAAAAUCUUAGUUAUUUUAGUUAUAAAACUAAAUAAUCAAACCAAAACUAACUAAUAAAAUGUACUUAAAAAUAUGUAAAAUAAACCCUUAUCACAUGUGAAGGGUCUCAAUGCUUGUUUGACGAAGUAAAUCCCUUCUUUAAAUCAAUGACUGAUCCUUGAUUAUUGCACUCUAGAAUUCGAGCAAUUGUGACUAGUGAUGAUCAAUUGUCUACCUCGAACAAAAGAUCAGAUUUCUUCUCCACCCUUCUUAUUGUCAAUGUUGGCAUAGAAUUCUCGAACCAAAUCUAAAUAUAUGUGGAGAGGAAGAGAAAGAAUAGGCUCCCAUCCCAAUAGUUUAAAAGCUUCCGUAAUGCGAUAUACGACAUCAAUCUCCGAAACUAUGCGUAUCUCGUAGAUAAAUUCCAUGUGCUCGCAUUCCUCAAACCAAUCUUGAUUAUUUUGGACGUGAAUCGCUCGACAUCAUAGUUCAGAAGUGGUGGUCGCCUAGAUAAGUCUGUUCACAAUCUCCUUUGUUGAAGCAUCAGAAAUGGUGUCCUUCCGAUACUUUCCUCACUAGAACAUUCACGAAUAAUAGCUCGGUUUUUUCUUACCAUGCUGUCUAAAAAAAAUCGUUACCCUUCUCAUACACCUAGUGAAAAUAUCACACUCACACACUAUACAAGAAUUAAUUCCUAUAAAACACCUAAAAGAAACAUUUUUCCACUUAUUAUUAAUCGUAAACAUUUUAUAGAAUUAUUAGUCACGUAUAGGAAUUAAAAUUGACUCAAAUAAUCACAAAUUCACAUCUUCAUGUCAGAAAGAAUCAAUUAAAUAUUCAACAAUAUGCAAUAUUAUGACAUGAGAGACAUGACAUUUAAAUUGUCAAAAAUUAUCAAAAUCACCAAUUUAUUAAAAUAGGCAACAAAUAUUUUUUAAUUAAUGAAUUUGGCAAUAACCAAGUUUAUAGCUAAUAUUAAUUAGUAACAAUAAUUCACAUUUAGGCAUAAACAUGAUUAAGUAAAAAUUAUCUCAAAAAUCACAAAAUUUAUCAAAAUUAUUCUCUAUACACAAUGUACAUGCUAGAAUAUCAUCAACCAACCAUUUUUAGUCGUAAACAUCAAUCAAAAUGGCUCAAAUAACAAUCCAAACUACUUUUUCAAUUUUAUCCAAAUAUAGCAAAUUUAAAAUUUUAACAACUAGUAAAGCAUCAAAUUGCUACAUUUGAACAUGUAAACAUGCUUAAUCAACCUUAAUAAGCAUAUUGGAGGUAAAAUAUAUCAAUAAAUAUCAUCAAAAUUUUGAAAUUAGAAGAUGUCAGAAAACUCAAAAAAUUGAAAAAUACAAACUUGUAAAAUACAAAGAUUUGAUGAAGAGACUUACCUCAAUCAAGUAGAAGAAUGUUUGGUGAUGAAGAUUAUGCAAAAAAUCCUAUGAAACACCUUCUAAUUGACUUUCAAUUGAGGAAUUUAAGAACUAUGAACCCUAAUCUUCAAUUUCUUUAAAACCGAAUUUUUUGGUAUUUUUCUUGCAUUUCAAUCGGUUAAAAGACUCUAUAAAGGUCAAAUGAUGUUUGGUUGAUGAUUUCUUACAAUGAAAUAGAGUAAUAUUGAUGAUUUGUGAAGUGUACGUGUUUUGGUGUGAAAAAUGCGAGUUUAAGAAAGGAAGAAGAAGAACAAUAAAUGCUGCGUUUUUUGUUUUUAAAAGGAGAAGAAGAAAAUGCGGGGGGAGGGGGGGUAAAACGCGACCCUGAUCACAUUAGUAGGUGCUUUUUCUAGUUGUAACUUGCAGAACCGAAUACGUAGGUGAAGAAAAUGCGACCCUAGUCGCAUUUUUCUAGCCCACAUUUCAUUUUUGUGUGCAAUUUUUCAUCAAGUUUAUAACGCGAGGCUUGCUGCAUUUUAGAGCGUGUUUUAUAAAAAAUGUUGAAAAACAAGUACUCCCUCCGUCCCAUUGAAAGUGUCAUACUCUCUUUUUUGGUCUGUCCCAAAAUUAAUGUCACUUACCACAAUUGGCAAUAAAAACUUUCCCCCAUUUCCAUCUCAUGCCCUUAAAUGUACCAGAUUCUUUUAAGCUUUUGAUGGGCCCCAAAAAAUUACAAAAAUUGCACUUGAUACGCGUGAGCUCCACAACAAAUGCAAACAAUGGUCGUACAAGGAACUUUCCCAAAAAACGGCUGAGACAUUCUUGAGGCACGGGUCCCACAGGUCUUGUCACUACUCGUUAUCUUUCUGCUAGUCAAUAAGUUAUGCUACUCCAUAGAAACCGAACAGGGGUAUUGUUGGAAGUUACACCAAAAUCAAUUGAAAUCUUGACACUGUUGUAAACAAGCACAAGAUUCGAAGCGCGACAAUUAUUGAUAGGGUAUUAAUUGUUGGUUAUUUUAUUAUUAAUUUUCCUUUUGUCUCUGCCAAAUAUUGUUUUAAUUGUUAAUAUCUACUUAUAUUUGGUUAUAUAUGGUAUCUGGACUUAAUUUCAGGGAAUGGAGCAGAAAACUACAAAAAAAUGAGGGACUUUCUGAAGACAAUUGAGACUUCAAACAGUUGGGCCCCAUAUGGUGCUACAAGGAAGCCUUUUUCGGUUGCUGAUAUGUGGACUUUAGUAUUAGAUAGAUGACUUGUACGAGGGAGUCUUUGACUAGCAAUAGGAAACUAGAAAAGUGGAAAUUCGGCAGAGCUUUCUUUUUGGUACCUUUUCUCUCAAGUCGGUAGAGACCAACUAGGGAGAUAUAAGUAGUCAUUUGUUUAGAAUAGGGAACUUCGUUCUUUUGGGCUUCGGCCAAUUCCUUCGUUUUCUUUAUUUUUCUUCUUUUCGGUCUCUUCUAAGAGAACGACGGGAACAUAGCUUGUUUUUUGGAUAAUAACUUCUGCAAUUUCGCAUGGGAUUUCCUCCAUAUAGAUGAACUAAGUUUCUCAUCUAGUCGAAGGCCAACUUGAAGGCGCGGUUCCAAAUAUCUGUGAGAUCAAAUUAAUUUUAUUUAUUUCUUUUAUUCAUUGAUAUUUGUACGUUUCUUGAUUUAAUUGCUUAUGCUUGUUAUGUUAUUUGAAUGUCAAGGGCCCGAUAUUCGAAUUAACCUAAUAAUCUACUGUCAGAUUAAUUGAUUGAAUCCGUAAUUGUUCAAUUGGUUAAUACUAGUGGUGACUAGCGUGAUUGGUUUCAUGUUAGGGAAACGUAUGAUCUAAUUUAAACAAACUCUUGUAGCGUGUUUGUUGGUUAGGGUUAGGCUUUUCUAAUUCUUAACGCAAUCGAGGAAUUAAAUCCUAUGGUCGUACCUAGGGUUAUUUCUUGGUUAGGGAAAUAGUUAACGGUCGUACCUUGACUAUCAAAAAGGUAAGGAAAGGUUGGUUGUUUACCGCGUGUAUGACAACUAUAACCAAUCUAUUAAUGAGUAAUUGAAUUAUCUUUGCAUCGAUGAUCAGUUGAAUGGAUCGUGUCUGAAAAGUUGCACCUUUGGCUAGAGUCGUAUUGGUUCUUGAUUAAUUAUUGUUUAUUUCUAUUAAUUGUUUCAUUAGUUAGUUAAUUAGUAAUUUUAUAUUUUUCAAAAAUCCCCCAUGCAUUGAACUCUAGAAGAAACGAAUUAUCCCUAGUCCCUGUGGAUUCGACCCUACUCACCGCUAUAUACAAAAUUUGUAUUUUUCUUGAGUAGGUAAUUAUUAUUGCACAGGCUCGACACCCUGUCAAUUAUUUCGAGACGGAGGGAGUAACACUUGAUCCUAAAAUGCAGGGGUGGUCCACGUUUUCGUGGGUGCAUUUUGCAAUUCUGCAAUUUUAGCGCAGAAAUUCUGCAAUUUUAUAAAAAUUACACACUUAACCCCCAUUUUCUAGAAUACAUCCUAGAUCAUUGACCAUUCUAACCAAUAUUGACCAUUUUCUUCCUGUAAUAUUGCCAAAGUGGAAUAAAAUAUCAUCGAAAUAUAGCACAAAAUUGUUACUUAUCAAUAUACAAUUGCAUUACAAAUUAUUUCAAAUAUUUAAUUAUUUAUUACAUAUAAAUUGUUUUCCAUUUUGUUAUGUUUAUUAGUUCCCUUCUUGUUAAUUAAGACCAUAAAUCUUUGGAGCAAGUCUUAGAAAGAGUAAACUUUUUUUUAAGUGAAGAUUAAGAGUUGAGUAAUCAUAUUUAUCUUUAACACUUUAGUGGCUCUAUUAGAAGUUCACCUAGGAAAGCUAUUACAAGUAUUAGACACUUUACUAAGCAUAUUAUUACUCAAAUCUUGCUUAAACCCAUUAUAAUUUGGUGACCUUAAAUUGUGCAACUUUUGAGGAAGUGCUCGUUCUUACCAAUUGAGUCAACAUAUAUUGGCAUAUCAGUCCAUUGACUAAAGAAACCUAAAUCAACUCAUGCUCAGGUUGUGAAGUAAUCAAUUUGAUGUCUUAAUUUAUUAGUGUAUGCAAUUAUUUCGUUUACAAUUAGGUCUUCUUCAUUGAUUAUCUUUAUCCAAUAAAUAUAAUUUCGUUAGUUUUUCAUAAUAUUUCAAAUAUUUAAUUUUUUCUAUUUGUGCUUGUCUUUAUAUUCAUUAACACGUAUUGAUGAAUCCUCUAGUUUCAAUGAAUUCACUUUUAUCUUAUAUGGCAAAACUAAUUGGUAAGCGGCACACCCAACUAGCAAACAAGUGUUAUAGUUAAUUAAUCAAUUGAAUUUUGUUUAUUUCAACUAACUUUUCAAGUCAAUUUUCUUCUAUUUUCUUUACUCUCUUCUAACUACUUCAGGUCAAUCAGUUUUUCAAUUGUAUGAAAUAACUAGGCAUAGUUCAUAAAGUUACUAGGUUAACUCAUUUUUGCAAUAAAAAUACACCAUUUAUCAAGAAAAUAAUGUCUCUUCAGAUAGAACACACUGUAUAAAUUUGUCAAGGUAAUUUACAAUUUUAACUUAAAUAAUUUUGUCCAAUUUGUUGUCCAAUAAUUUUUACUGUAGGGCACUAAAUAUACUCCUGCAUUAAAGGAACUUUUGGUGAAUGGUUUUAUAUCUAUUAUGUGUUGAUUACGCACAACAUGCCAACAAAUGAUUCAUUACUAGAUCUCAAAGAGCUCCUCAUUCUCUCUCUCUCUCUCUGAUAAAAAUAACAAUUUCAUUCACAAAAUCUGUACUAACGGUUAAAGAUAUACUAGGUGUUGGACCCCGCGGGUGUCGCGGGGUGCCCAUAUUAUCUUGUUGGUGAGUGUUAACUGAUGGUUUUUUUUGUAAAGAAGAUGUUUGUAUAAGAGAUGGAUUAUAAACAGGAAAGUAGAAACCAUGCGUUUUUUAUAUAUACAUGAUCAUUGGGAAUUGCAGCUUAAUACAAAAGUUAGUUGUUAUUUGUACAAAACAAAAUUCUAGAAAGCUGCUAUGAUUCGUAAACAAAAAGUACAAUUUUUUGUUUUACAUCCAACUGGAAUGUAAACUGUUUAGUUUAGUUUUUGAUGUAAUAUAGAUUGAGAGUUAGAAUAUUGACUCGUAUAGAUAUUUUUCUUAUCUUCUGAGGAAAAUUUACGUUUCCGACCCAUAUGCAAUUGUAGCUAAAAUUAAGAAAAUUCUGUUAUCCAUGACAUCCAACAAUCACAAUCAUAAAUCAUCUAAAGUUUCUUGGAGGAGACAAAACAAGCGUGAAUGAAAGAGAUGAUUACCAUUUAAUAAGCAAAACGAUAACAAACAUAGAAAAUAAAACACAACGAAAUAGAACAAAUAAGUAAAAGAGAGAUUGCUUUACCUGAACAAUAAGCUUUGAAUAGGAUGGUUGAGCUGAGCUGCAUGGAAUAAACCGAUAAGAUCACAGAAAAGAUAAAUAUAACAUGGAAGCAGCUAACAUAAGAAAAGUCAGAGUCCAUGCAAACUAAAAACUUGCAACAAAGAAAUGGAAAUGAUGGGGAAGAGAAAAUGAUAAAAGCAUAAUCUGAAGCAUACGAAACAAAAAUAAACAAACACGGUGAAAGAGCAAAAAGUUCAGCGAAGGAACAACGUAAUAAACAGCUAUAUUAGGCGCAAAAGUGGAGAAAUACAGUAAAGGAAAACAGGCAGCACCUGAUUGAAGCGAGCGAGAACGAGGAAACUGGAAACAAAAAUCACCAAAAGCUGGCACAAGAUGGAGGCUUAACAGAAAGACGCAGGACAAAAGAGAAACAUCUCUAAAACAUUAUAAUAGUUGCUGGUAUGCACGUAGAGAAAGUCAAAGCAAAGAAACUGACGGUGAAAAAGCUAAUGUAGAUAUAGCACACAGAGUGCUUAACUAUACAAAGAGCCUGUGCUUUGGUAAAAGCAAGCACAUGCAUGCAUUAAAUCCAC
rnacentral:lncRNA from 1 species